ncrna:unclassified sequences S15-Flavobacteria ribosomal protein leader
UAUUUUUGCACUCGAAUUAUGAUAGACAUGAUUCAUACAUAAAAAUCAUUUACAAAAAUAUUAGCAUG